ACCCUGCAAUCAAAUAGAUUGUCCCAAGGGCGCCAUAUUCUAGGAUCCCAAGUUAUGCUAUUGAAAAUUCAUUCCUCUAGCAGUUCCGGUUUGAGCAUUCCGUUCCCUUUUUCAAACUCCACUUCUUUGAUCGAUUAUAUAUUGAAUCCCUUUUCUAAGCAAUACCGCUCUGUUAUUGGUCUAUUAUAUACUAAAUACUAA
rnacentral:rRNA from 1 species